rnacentral:rRNA from 1 species
AUUCCCGGCUAGUCUGACGGAGCAUACCGCGUGAGGGAAGACUGCCUAUGGGUUGUAAACCUCUUUUUUCAGGGAGGAAUAAAUGACGUGUACCUGAAGAAUAAGCAUCGGCUAACUCCGUGCCAGCCGCCGCGGUAAGACGGAGGAUGCAAGUGUUAUCCGGAAUCACUGGGCGUAAAGCGUCUGUUGGUGGUUUAAUAAGUCAACUGUUAAAUCUUGAGGCUCAACUUCAAAAUCGCAGUCGAAACUAUUAAACUAGAGUAUAGUAAAGGUAAAGGGAAUUUCCAGUGGAGCGGUGAAAUGCGUAAAUUUUGGAAAGAACACCGAUGGCGAAAGCACUUUACUGGGCUAUUACUAACACUCAAAGACGAAAGCUAGGGUAGCAAAUGGGAUUAAAUACCGCAAGUAAAAAAAAAAAAAGAUAUAGUCGGGGAAUCGCAACACCGUUUUUAAACCCCGGCCCACAACAAAGGGUUUAUUACCCGCCCCCCCCCAA